AAGGAUUUAAGUUAAGUAAAAACUUGAAACCUUCAAAGUUUCAAAUAAAGGUUUCUUUAAGCCUUA
rnacentral:tRNA from 1 species